rnacentral:misc_RNA from 1 species
GAAAAAUGGAUUGAAUCAGUCUGGAUGGAACCCCUGAAACAGGAGUACUAGAAGCAAAAUGCAGUGAAGCUGUAGAAAAUGGUGAAUCUCUUGGCUUGUUUGGUUUCUGAUCCUUUGAUGGGUCUUGAUCGGCUGAAACAGAACCAAAACUGGAUGGGGGAGCAUCAUCCACGUCCUCAUCUUCAUCGUCUUCUUCUUCACCUUCCUCUUCAAAUGAUGCCUUUUUAUCUAAGUUGGUUGAUGAAGUAACAUCUUCAUCAAGC